UACGGAGGGAGCUAGCGUUGUUCGGAAUUACUGGGCGUAAAGCGCGCGUAGGCGGCUUUGUAAGUUAGAGGUGAAAGCCCGGGGCUCAACCCCGGAAUUGCCUUUAAGACUGCAUCGCUUGAAUCCGGGAGAGGUGAGUGGAAUUCCGAGUGUAGAGGUGAAAUGCGUAGAUAUCGGAAGGAACACCAGUGGCGAAAAGCGGCUUCCUGGUC
rnacentral:rRNA from 1 species